rnacentral:miRNA from 1 species
UUUUAUAUAUAUAUACAUAUAUAUAUAUAUACACACACACACAUGCAUAUAUGUGUAUGUGUGUGUGUGUGUGUGUAAAAACAA